UACGGGGGGGGCAAGCGUUGUUCGGAAUUACUGGGCGUAAAGGGCUCGUAGGCGGCCAACUAAGUCGGAUGUGAAAUCCCUAGGCUUAACCUAGGAACUGCAUCCGAUACUGGAUGGCUUGAAUCCGGGAGAGGGAUGCGGAAUUCCAGGUGUAGCGGUGAAAUGCGUAGAUAUCUGGAGGAACACCGGUGGCGAAGGCGGCAUCCUGGACCGGCAUUGACGCUGAGGAGCGAAAGCCAGGGGAGCAAACGGG
rnacentral:rRNA from 1 species